CUACGGGGUGCAGCAGUGAGGAAUUUUGCGCAAUGGGGGAAACCCUGACGCAGCAACGCCGCGUGAGCGAAGAAGGCCUUCGGGUCGUAAAGCUCUGUCAAGUGGGAAAAAAAUCUUUUGAUCAAUAGUCAAAAGACUUGAUGGUACCACUGGAGGAAGCACCGGCUAACUCCGUGCCAGCAGCCGCGGUAAUACGGAGGGUGCAAGCGUUGUUCGGAUUUACUGGGCGUAAAGAGCGUGUAGGCGGUUUAGCAAGUCAGAUGUGAAAGCCCUGGGCUCAACCCGGGAAGUGCAUUUGAAACUGCUUCACUAGAGUAUGGGAGAGGAGAUUGGAAUUCCUGGUGUAGAGGUGAAAUUCGUAGAUAUCAGGAGGAACACCCGUGGCGAAGGCGAUUCUCUGGACCAAUACUGACGCUGAGACGCGAAAGCGUGGGGAGCAAACAGGAUUAGAUACCCGGGUAGUC
rnacentral:rRNA from 1 species